AUGUCCUUCUUCAAUUUCCGUAAGAUCUUCAAGUUGGGGAGCAAGAAGAAGAGGCAGUACGAACAUGUGAAGAGGGACCUGCACCCCGAGGAGUUUAGGGAGAUUAUAGGAGAAUUAGGUGAUGGAGCUUUUGGGAAAGUGUACAAGGCCCAGAAUAACGAGACCAGUGUUUUAGCUGCUGCAAAGGUGAUUGACACCAAAUCUGAAGAAGAACUUGAAGACAACGUGGUUGAGAUUGAUAUAUUGGCAUCUUGUGAUCAACCAAAUAUAGUCAAGCUUCUAGAUGCCUUCUAUUAUGAGAAUAAUCUUUGGAUCCUUAUUGAAUUUUGUGCAGGUGGAGAAGUAGAUGCUGUGAUGCUUGAACUUGAGAGACCAUUAACUGAGUCCCAAAUACAAGUAGUUUGCAAACAGACUUUAGAGGCAUUGAACUACUUACAUGAUAAUAAAAUCAUCCAUAGAGAUCUAAAGGCUGGCAACAUUCUUUUUACUUUAGAUGGAGAUAUUAAAUUGGCGGAUUUUGGAGUAUCAGCUAAAAACACAAGGACAAUUCAAAGAAGAGAUUCCUUUAUUGGCACACCAUAUUGGAUGGCUCCUGAAGUAGUCAUGUGUGAAACAUCUAAGGACAGACCCUAUGACUACAAAGCUGAUGUUUGGUCCCUGGGUAUUACUUUAAUAGAAAUGACUGAGAUAGAACCACCUCAUCAUGAAUUAAAUCCAAUGCAAGUGCUGCUAAAAAUAGCAAAAUCUGAGCCCCCUACUGAACACAGCCAUCAAAAUGGUCUUCAAAUUUUAAGGACUUUCUAAAGAAAUGCUUGGAAAAGAAUGUGGGUGCUAGGUGGAAUACAUCUCAGCUACUGCAGCAUCCCUUUGUUACUGUUGGUUCCAAUAAACCAAUCUGAGAAUUGAUUGCAGAGGCAAAGGCUGAAGUAACAGAAGUUGAAGAUUGUAAAGAGGAAGAUGAUGAUGAGGAAGCAGAAAAUUCUCUGCCAAUACCUUCAGAUAAGCAUGCCUCCUCUGAUCUUAGUAUUGCCACCUCUGAAGAAGACAAACUUUCACAAAAUGCUUGUAUUUUGGAAUCUGUCUCAGAAAAGACAGAACGUAAUACUUCUGAAGAUAAAUUCAACAACAAAUUUCUUAUUGAAAAACCUACCACUGAUGAACCUGAAAAGGCUAUGGAUAGAAUUAAUGAACUUGUUGACGAUGCUCAUUUAGAAGCUAUGGCUGCCAUAAUAGAACAACAGUAAUCAAAGAGAAUGGGAGAGAGAAGAGACCUGAGUCUGAAAAUCUACCUGAUACAGAAAACCAAGAAACUGUGAACACUAAUUCAGUCAGUGAAGGAAAAGAGAAUAAUGCAGUGAUAACUUUAGAAACAAACAUUGAAGAUAAUCUAAACUCUGAGGAAGAAAGGGAUCAGGAAGAGAAACAGACAUUUGAAAAUAGGCUUAUAAAAUCUGAAGAAAUUAAAGAUACUGUUAUUCAAACAAUAGAUUCAGUUACUCAAGAGACUGGAGAAAAAGAGGCAGAUAUUCAAGCAAUUGAUAGUCAAGUUGGGCUUAAAAAGGAAGACAGCCAAGAGAAAUUGGGAAAAGAUGACAAAACUCAAAAAGAUGUGAUCAGUGAUACAAGUAAUGUGGUAGAAAUAAAUGAGGCAGUAGAUGUUCAGAAGGUUGUUGAAAACAGUGCUGAGGAUGCUCAGAGUAAUGAUGGGGAAGAAGUGAUUGAAGUAGACCAGAAAUUAAUAAGCAAGCCUGAGGAGGGUCCUGAGGCUGGUGGUACUAAGGAAGUUUCUAUUAAAGAAAUAAAAGAAAUAGUUGAAACUAAUGAGAUAGAUCAAAAAUCUGUAGAAGGUAAAAAUAAGGAACAAUUAAUAAACAGUUCAGAGAACAUAUUGGAGACCAGUGAAGAACUAGGGACAAAUGAGGUUGAAGAAAUUACUGAAUCAAGUAGCACAGAAAAAAUAGAGGUUGGAAAUGUAGUGAUUGAUGCUGACCAAAAGGCUUUAGGAGGUGAAACUCAGAAUGCUCAUAAAGCCACUACUCAGAUAGAUACAGAGAAAAAAGAAAUGCCAUGUGAAGUGCCGAUUAAAACAGAACCUCAGGUUAUUGCAGUUUCACAGCCCAGUGAACCUCAGCCUGUUCUAAUACCCAGUAUUAAUAUCAACUCUGGAGAUUCAGAAAAUAAAGGAGAAAUCAGUGCUUUGUCAAAAACUGAAACCAUGCUGCUUCCAGAAUCUGAGAAUCAAAAGGAACAAGAUGCUGAUUCAGGCACUGGUUCUACUGCUGAUAACAGCAGCAUUGACUUGAAUUUAUCCAUCUCUAGCUUCCUCAGUAAAACUAAAGACAGUGGAUCAAUAUCUUUACAAGAAACAAGAAGAUAAAAGAAAAUAUUGAAGAAAAGACGCAAAUUUAUGGUUGAUGGUAUAGAAGUGAGUGUAACAACGUCAAAGAUAGUUACAGAUAGUGAUUCCAAAACUGAAGAAUUGGGGUUUCUUAGAUGUCAGGAACUUUGGGAAUUAAGAUUUCUUCAAAAAGAAGAGCAACGAGCCCAACAACAGCUUAAUAGUAAACUGUAACAACAACAAGAACAAAUUUUCCGGCACUUUGAGCAGGAAAUGAUGAGUAAAAAGCGACAUAUGACCAGGAAAUCGAGAAGCUAGAAAACCAGCAGAAACAGACUAUUGAACGUCUGGAACAAGAACACACAAAUCGCUUGCAGGAAGAAACCAAACACAUCAAAGGAGAACAAGAGAAAGAGCUGUCCAAAUUUCAGAACAUACUAAAGAACCGAAAGAAGGAGGUUAUAAAUGAAGUGGAGAAAGCACCCAAAGAGCUGAGAAAAGAGCUCAUGAAAUGCAGGAAAGAGGAACUUGCACAAAGCCAGCAUGCUCAGGAACAAGAGUUUGUUCAGAAGCAACAACAAGAAUUAGAUGGCUCUCUGAAAAAGAUCAUCCAACAACAGAAGGCAGAGUUGGCCAAUAUUGAGAGCAAGUGCCCGAAUAACAAGCAACAGCUCAUGAGAGCUCGAGAAGCUGCAAUUUGGGAGCUUGAAGAACGACACUUACAAGAAAAACACCAACUGCUCAAACAGCAACUUAAAGAUCAAUAUUUCAUACAAAGACAUCAGCUACUUAAGCGCCAUGAGAAGGAAACAGAACAAAUGGAGCGUUACAAUCAAUGACUUAUUUGAGGAAUUGAAAAACAGGCAGACUCAAGAAAGAACAAUAUUACCCAAGAUUCAAUGAUUCAAUGCAGUGAAGCUAAGACUUGAACGGCCAUGUUUAAGAAAAGUUUGAGAAUUAACAGCUAUGCCAGAUCAAGACUGUGACAAAAUUAAACAGUUUGCUGCACAAGAAGAAAAGAGGCAGAAAAAUGAGAGAAUGGCUCAGCAUCAGAAACAUGAAAAUCAAAUGUGGGAUCUUCAGUUGCAGUGUGAAGCCAAUGUUCGAGAACUGCAUCAGCUGCAGAAUGAAAAAUGCCACCUGUUGGUUGAGGAUGAGACACAGAAACUAAAGGAGUUAGAAGAGGAACAUAGCCAAGAAUUAAAGGAGUGGAGAGAGAAAUUGAGACCUAGGAAAAAGACACUGGAAGAAAAGUUUGCCAGGAAACUCCAGGAACAGGAAGUGUUCUUUAAAAGGACUGGGGAGUCUGAAUGCCUUAACCCAUCAACACAGAGCCAUAUUUCUAAAUUCUAUCCUAUUUCUAGCUUGCAUUCCACUGGAUCAUAACAUGGGAAGCAUUCUGUGCUUGAGUUGGCUUUUUAAAUAUGUCAUUCUAUUCUCUUCAUCUUCUGCCACAGUCUAUAUCAAAUAGCUCAUGAAGACAAUCACCUGCCUCACCUUCUAGGUGUUUUUUUGUUUUUAGUUUUGGGUUUUUUGUUUUUUUUUUUAAAGCAAAGAUGAAGGGAAAACAAACUAAGACAGAUGCUGGACCAUGUUGGCAAAGUAGCAUCUUGCAGUAAUUCCCUAAGGUGAUUUUGUAUAUUAAUCUUAAAAAUUGUAUUCUUUAGACACUAUUACCUGAAAAUUUAUUAAGAGAAAUAAUGUUUAAAGUUAUUUAAAAAAACUGUUAUGUCACUAAUUAUUAAUAAAUGUCUUUUUACCUGCCCUAACUUCUCAGUGAUGCCUAAAUUCUAUAGCUGAAGCUCUGCUGUAGAGGAUUGAAAUGAUUUUCUUUUGGUGAAUCAGCUCUCAUAAAAAAGCUAUGAGAUGCUCAAAAUGUUCUGUUGAUUCAGUGAAUAAAUAUAUUUUACCUUUAAAUAGGAACAAACUCUUUUAAAAGAGAAACUUUCAGUAAUUUGUUGAAAGUAACCUAUUUAGGCAUGAGCUAAUAAUUGAGGGUGCUAGUUUUAUUAAGAUAGUGCCUAAAACACUAAAUUUCAAUCAAGUCUAAAAUAGGAUUUUCUUUUUGAUCAACAGAGACAUAACAUCCUUAGCAUGAAACAUUAUUGUGUUAAAAACCUUGCUCCUGGUACCAUUUGAUGGAAAUUUUCAUCCUAAAAUGUAUGUCGUACAAAGUUUGGAAGACAAAAAAUAAAUAAAAGUAGCUUUUAAAUGUGCAAAUUGGAAAUGUAAAACACCAAACUAAAAGUAAGAUAGAUUUAGCCAUCUCAGUUUAUUUUCUAAAAUAAUACAUGAGUUAAAUGACUUCCCUCCAUCUUAGUGAAUUCUGUUCCUUUAAAACUCUAUGAGAGGCUUGCAGGCUCUGAGUUAUAUUUAUAAAUAUAUUUUCUGAAAUUAAUCUUAAAAGGCAUUUGUUCAGAAUACUUUUUUUAAAGGAUUUAAAUAUUUACACAAAUGUCAGGAAUGACUUUUCAUUGUUAUGAAAUGAGGCAACUUACAUUUUGGUGUUAUUUUGUUUCAUAUUUAAAUUAUUUACUUUGAAUGGGAAAAGCCUGAAACCUUUAUCAUGUGGUUGCUGAUAUGUGUAAUUAUUAAUGAAAUGUUCAUUCUCAGUCCCUUUUGAGGCUUAGAAUUUCAACCAUGUGUCAGGUCAAACAGUAUUAUGAACUGGACUUUGGUGUGUGAGACAGCACACUUGUAAAUGAUGCUUGUUGCCUGCCAUUUACAACCUAUUCUCUCUUAAGAGUGCUAGGUAGUAAAUUGUAAAAGUUUGUUUUUAGUUGUAUUACUUUUGAGGCUGGUGAAAAACUUAAAUGCAACUUUGUGGGAACACUGACUUAUACUAAGAAAAUGUAAAUGUCUGUAGCACUUUCUUGCAGUUAAUUUGAAAACUUUAGAUGCUGAACCUUAUUUUGUCAGUGGUUUAGAUGAUUUAAAAAUGCAUGUGAGAUUUUAAUUUUGUAAUUGUUUUGACAAGCACAAUUUACUUGGACAACUUUGUAGGUAGCCUUAACUUCUGGCCAAGUUUGUUUUUUAUAUAAAUAUAUAUACAUAUAUCAUGUAUGGUUGUAAAUUCAUACACUUAUCACAUGUAUGUGUUACUAUAUACAAAACUCUUUUAAUGCUUUAUUCUCAAAUGCUGGGUUGAAAAAUGUUUUUAAAGCCUUUGGAAAUAUAUACCUUUAUAAAGUAAUAUUCAGGAUGAUGGAAAUUAUUAAUAUUGUUAUGAUAAAAACGACAGUAUAAUGUU